GGGGAAUCUUCCGCAAUGGGCGCAAGCCUGACGGAGCAACGCCGCGUGCGGGAGGAAGGCCUGUGGGUUGUAAACCGCUUUUCUCAAGGAAGAAGUCAGUGACGGUACUUGAGGAAUCAGCAUCGGCUAACUCCGUGCCAGCAGCCGCGGUAAGACGGAGGAUGCAAGCGUUAUCCGGAAUUAUUGGGCGUAAAGCGUCCGUAGGUGGUUGUUCAAGUCUGCUGUUAAAGCGUGCGGCUUAACCGCAUACCAGCAGUGGAAACUGGGCGACUAGAGUGCGGUAGGGGUCAGGGGAAUUCCCAGUGUAGCGGUGAAAUGCGUAGAUAUUGGGAAGAGCAACGGUGGCGAAAGCUGUCUCUGACUGGACGAUGCACUGACACUGAGGACGAAGCUCGGAGCG
rnacentral:rRNA from 1 species